rnacentral:rRNA from 1 species
UACGGAGGAGGCAAGCGUUAUCCGGAAUUAUUGGGCGUAAAGCGUCCGCAGGUGGCGAUUCAAGUCUGCGGUCAAAGACUGGGGCUUAACCCUGGAAAGGCCGUGGAAACUGAAUAGCUAGAGUGCAGUAGGGGUAGAGGGAAUUCCCGGUGUAGCGGUGAAAUGCGCAGAUAUCAGGAGGAACACCGGUGGAGAAGGCGGGUCUCUGGGCCGUACCUGACGCUAAAGCGCGACAGCAUGGGGAGCAAACGGG